rnacentral:rRNA from 1 species
UACAGAGGUCUCAAGCGUUGUCCGGAAUCAUUGGGCGUAAAGCGCGUGUAGGCGGCUCGAUAAGUCUGCUGUGAAAGUCCAGGGCUCAACCCUGGGAUGCCGGUGGAUACUGUCGAGCUCGAGUCCGGAAGAGGCGAGUGGAAUUCCUGGUGUAGCGGUGAAAUGCGCAGAUAUCAGGAGGAACACCAAUGGCGAAGGCAGCUCGCUGGGACGUGACUGACGCUGAGACGCGAAAGCGUGGGGAGCAAACAGG